AUUGAACGCUGGCGGCAUGCUUUACACAUGCAAGUCGAACGGCAGCACGGACUUCGGUCUGGUGGCGAGUGGCGAACGGGUGAGUAAUACAUCGGAACGUACCCAGUAAUGGGGGAUAACUAGUCGAAAGAUUAGCUAAUACCGCAUACGCCCUACGGGGGAAAGGGGGGGAUCGCAAGACCUCUUGUUAUUGGAGCGGCCGAUGGCUGAUUAGCUAGUUGGUGGUGUAAAGGCCUACCAAGGCGACGAUCAGUAGCGGGUCUUAGAGGAUGAUCCGCCACACUGGAACUGAGACACGGUCCAGACUCCUACGGGAGGCAGCAGUGGGGAAUCUUGGACAAUGGGCGAAAGCCUGAUCCAGCAAUGCCGCGUGCGUGAAGAAGGCCUUCGGGUUGUAAAGCGCUUUUGUCUGGGAGCAAAUCCUUGUGGCUAAUACCCACCGGGGAUGAGAGUACCAGAAGAAUAAGGACCGGCUAACUACGUGCCAGCCGCCGCUGUAA
rnacentral:rRNA from 1 species